rnacentral:rRNA from 1 species
CAAUAGCGUAUAUUAAAGUUGUUGCAGUUAAAAAGCUCGUAGUUGGAUUUCUGGUGGGAGCGAUCGGUCUGGCGCUUAGCGCGAGUACAUGCAUCGUCUCCGGCCAUCCUUGGGGAGAGUCUGUCUGGCAUUAGGUUGUCGGGCAGAGGAUCCUCAUCGUUUACUGUGAAAAGAUUAGAGUGUUCAAAGCAGGCUUAUGCCGUUGAAUAUAUUAGCAUGGAAUAAUAAGAUAGGACUUUGGUACUAUUUUGUUGGUUUGCGCACCAAAGUAAUGAUUAAUAGGGACAGUUGGGGGUAUUCGUAUUCCGUUGUCAGAGGUGAAAUUCUUGGAUUUACGGAAGACGAACUACUGCGAAAGCAUUUACCAAGGAUGUUUUCAUUAA